AGUGAACGCUGGCGGUAGGCCUAACACAUGCAAGUCGAACGGCAGCACAGGAGAGCUUGCUCUCUGGGUGGCGAGUGGCGGACGGGUGAGGAAUACAUCGGAAUCUACUUUUUCGUGGGGGAUAACGUAGGGAAACUUACGCUAAUACCGCAUACGACCUACGGGUGAGAGCAGGGGACCUUCGGGCCUUGCGCGAUUGAAUGAGCCGAUGUCGGAUUAGCUAGUUGGCGGGGUAAAGGCCCACCAAGGCGACGAUCCGUAGCUGGUCUGAGAGGAUGAUCAGCCACACUGGAACUGAGACACGGUCCAGACUCCUACGGGAGGCAGCAGUGGGGAAUAUUGGACAAUGGGCGCAAGCCUGAUCCAGCCAUACCGCGUGGGUGAAGAAGGCCUUCGGGUUGUAAAGCCCUUUUGUUGGGAAAGAAAUCCAGCUGGCUAAUACCCGGUUGGGAUGACGGUACCCAAAGAAUAAGCACCGGCCAACUUCGUGCCAGCAGCCGCCGUAA
rnacentral:rRNA from 1 species